rnacentral:tRNA from 2 species
GCCCAGGUGGCGGAAUUGGUAGACGCACUACCUUGAGGUGGUAGCGGAGAGAUCCGUAGGGGUUCGAGUCCCCUCUUGGGCACCA